rnacentral:rRNA from 1 species
GAUGAACGCUGGCGGCGUGCCUAAUACAUGCAAGUCGAGCGAACGGACGAGAAGCUUGCUUCUCUGAUGUUAGCGGCGGACGGGUGAGUAACACGUGGAUAACCUACCUAUCAUACUGGGAUAACUUCGGGAAACCGUAGCUAAUACCGGAUAAUAUUUUGAACCGCAUGGUUCAAAAGUGAAAGACGGUCUUGCUGUCACUUAUAGAUGGAUCCGCGCUGCAUUAGCUAGUUGGUAAGGUAACGGCUUACCAAGGCAACGAUGCGUAGCCGACCUGAGAGGGUGAUAGGCGACACGGGAGGGGAGACACGGUCCAGACGCCUACGGGAGGCAGCAGUAGGGAAUCUUCCGCAAUGGGCGAAAGCCUGACGGAGCAAGGCCGCGUGAGUGAUGAAGGUCUUCGGAUCGUAAAGCUCUGUUAUUAGGGAAGAACAGAUGUGUAAGUAACUGUGCACAUCGUGACGGUACCUAAUCAGAAAGCCACGGCUAACUACGUG